AUUGAACGCUGGCGGCAGGCCUAACACAUGCAAGUCGAGCGGAUGACGGGAGCUUGCUCCUUGAUUCAGCGGCGGACGGGUGAGUAAUGCCUAGGAAUCUGCCUGGUAGUGGGGGACCACGCUUCGAAAGGAACGCUAAUACCGCAUACGUCCUACGGGAGAAAGCAGGGGACCUUCGGGCCUUGUGCUAUCAGAUGGGACUAGGUCGGAUUAGCUAGUUGGUGGGGUAAUGGGUCACCAAGGCGAAGAUCCGUAACUGGUCUGAGAGGAUGAUCAGUCACAAUGGAACUGAGACACGGUCCAGACUCCUACGGGAGGCAGCAGUGGGGAAUAUUGGACAAUGGGCGAAAGCCUGAUCCAGCCAUGCCGCGUGUGUGAAGAAGGUCUUCGGAUUGUAAAGCACUUUAAGUUGGGAGGAAGGGCAGUAAGCUAAUACCUUGCUGUUUUGACGUUACCGACAGAAUAAGCACCGGCUAACUCUGUGCCAGCCGCCGCGGUAAGAC
rnacentral:rRNA from 1 species